UCCAAAUGAAUUUGGUAUCCUACAAGCAGAUUUGCACAUGUCUAAAUUUCUGGAGCAUGCUUUCAGGAACAGUAAAUGAGCACAUAUGGGAGACUUUUUCUGUGGAAUCAGGGCGGAGAGUUUAUAGUACAGAGGUGCAAGGGUGUUGGUCUUCCUUUGAAUAGUGGCACCUCAUUUAGUGGAGCAUUAAAGAGAAAAGGAAUCUUCUCCUGCACCAUUCUCUGUUUACAUUUUGUUGGCAAAAUGUUCAGUAGCUUUUUGAACUCCAAUAUCAUGAGGAAUCAGUCUUUUAGCCCUCUCCAGCCUUGCAUUACCCACAUUGACUGAUGGUUUCUCUCCAGGUCUUCUAAAAAUGUAUAGCAUUGUGCAGGUCACAGGUAAACUGACAAUUUGUAUCUUCCUUAGAUGAGGCUCAUGGGGACUUGAGCCAGAUUGGGACUGCUGCACCUGAGUUGUGAGGAAACCUUAAUUCCUUCCCAGGUAAAAUUUUUAUAAAGGAAAAGACCCUUCUGCAUUUGCUCUGCACAGAUCUUGGCUGACAUCAGGGAAGAUGACGGAAUUAGACUCUGCCAGAUGAAGAGAGAGGACCUUUGCAACCCAACACCGGGAAUAUUAUAAGUCUGUCUAGAUCAAUAGAUGAUUUGGAGGAACUUUGAGAUAUUGGAACAACAGAACAGAAUAUUCUGUUUGAGAUAUUUGAAGAACAGAAGGACACCAAGCUGCCAGAAAUCGCCAACACUCCAGAAGAAAGACUCAAAAUGCAGAAGGAUCUUGAUAGACUUGAACACUAGGCCCUAUCUAACUAAAUGAAAUUAAAUGUAGAGAAAAGUAAGGUUUUACAUUUAAGCAAGAAAAAUCAACUGCACAAGUAUAGAAUAGGUGGUACCUGGCUCAACUACGAGAGGGAUCGUAAGUAGGAGUCAGCAGUGUGCUACAGCUGCCAAAAAAGUCAAUGUAGUCCUAGGCUGCAUUAAUAGAGGGAUGGAAUCAAGAUCAUAUACCACUUUAUAUAAUGCCUUGAU